AUGGCCGAUCCCGCACCGGCGCUCAACUCCGCUCUGCUCUCUCCCUCCAGCAAGAUGUUCAUCGGCGGCCUCAGCUGGCAAACCUCACCAGACAGCCUUAGAGACUAUUUUAGCAAAUUCGGAGAAAUUAGGGAGUGUAUGGUCAUGCGGGACCCCACCACCAAGCGCUCCAGAGGCUUCGGGUUCGUUACGUUCGCGGAUCCGGCGAGUGUAGACAAAGUCCUGGCUCAGCCGCACCACGAGCUGGACUCCAAGACGAUUGACCCUAAAGUUGCGUUUCCCCGACGAGCACAGCCCAAGAUGGUCACAAGAACAAAGAAAAUAUUUGUAGGUGGAUUAUCGGCUAAUACAGUAGUGGAAGAUGUGAAGCAAUACUUUGAACAGUUUGGCAAGGUAGAGGAUGCCAUGCUAAUGUUUGACAAGACGACCAACAGGCAUAGAGGAUUUGGCUUCGUAACUUUUGAAAAUGAAGACGUGGUGGAGAAAGUCUGUGAAAUUCAUUUCCACGAAAUCAAUAAUAAAAUGGUAGAAUGUAAGAAAGCACAACCUAAAGAAGUGAUGUUUCCACCAGGGACGAGAGGAAGGGCACGUGGCUUGCCGUACACCAUGGACGCCUUCAUGCUGGGGAUGGGAAUGUUGGGUUACCCGAAUUUUGUUGCAACAUAUGGCCGAGGAUAUCCUGGAUUUGCCCCAAGUUACAGUUAUCAGUUCCCAGGUUUUCCAGCAGCGGCUUACGGACCAGUAGCAGCGGCAGCCGUGGCGGCAGCAAGAGGAUCAGGAAAACAGACCUCAUUGUUUCUGCCUCUUCCUCAUGUUUUGCCCUUCAGGUUUUGUUUUACGUGCAAACAGACCUGUUAUGUUUUGUUGUUUUCUCUCUUGCUUGGUUGGGGCUGCUGUGAGAGAGGGUGUCUCUGAGGCAAACUUUCCGGCCUCUCUUACACUCGGACGUGCACACCUCCUCUCAAACACUCUUCUGAGCGCUCUCAGCGGGAAGUCUUGAAUAGCUACAGUGCUCAACCGAAUUUUGGCGCACCCGCUUCCCCGGCAGGCUCCAACCCAGCGCGGCCCGGAGGCUUCCCCGGGGCCAACAGCCCCGGGCCCGUGGCGGAUCUCUACGGCACGGCCAGCCAGGACUCCGCCGUGGGCAACUACAUAAGUGCUGCCAGCCCGCAGCCGGGCUCGGGCUUCGGCCACGGCAUCGCCGGACCUUUGAUUGCAACGGCUUUUACAAAUGGAUACCAUUGAAACGUUACACAUGGUUGGUUGCCAUCUCACUUGGAGAGUCUCUCUGGAUGUCCAGGCAAGACAGGGCGAAGUUUCUGAAGGGGCCCACGGUUGGGUGAUCUCAUCAGACUUUGAGCACUACAUCAUCAUCACCAUCAUCAUCAUCAUCAUCACCGCCAACGCAAACUGGAGGUGGCACUCGAAGGACUUGGGUUGUUUAAAAUCUCUCUCAUCAUCUCAUGAAUCUGCUGUACUAUAAAAACAACAGCUUUUAAAAGUAUGUAUAUAAAACCCAUUUCUUGUUCGUUUUAUUUUCUCGAUGGGUUCCCCCCCUCUUUUUAAGCCUCUCCAAACCCACAUCUUUUCGUAGCCUUUCUGACAUAGUCUCGUAGCCACGUAGUCGCGAUUCUUUGUGUAUGUAGCGAGAGCCUAACCAUAGUGGAACUGUUAUAUUAAGGGGUUUCUUUUGCUUUUUCUUUCCCACCUCCCCUCCUCCUCCUCCUCCUCCUCCUCCUCCUCUUCCUCCCUUCUGUUCUACGUAGUUGUUGUUGCUUAAAGGAUGCUGAGAUGGUGGCAGGAGCCUCGGCCGCGGGGGGAGCGGAGCCGGCGGCGGGCGCGGCGCGGGGGGCUGGCAGGGCACGGGGAGGGGGGAGCAAAGGUUCUCUGGCCCUUCUUUUCCUUUGUGGCGUCUUGGUUACUCUGAUUCUCUCUAUUUUCGGCAAUAAGGCGAGGGCGACAAACUUUUUGCGCGUCCUUUUUCUAUAUAAGUGCUUUUUUUUGUUGAAAGAGGUGAUAUAAGGUUUUUUGAAAUUGUGAAUUCUGAAAAAAAAAAAAAGAAAAAAAUAAUAAAGUGCUGUAAAUACAAUUCCAUUAACUACAUAGAAACUAUUAAGAAAGAGAAAUACAAACCUAUUUUUGUGACGGAGUCAGCCUAAGGCAGUUUCUCUCUGGAAAUGGAUGGACAGGACAGGAGGUUGCAGCUUUGGGAGCAGCUGCCCGGGGCUGUGCUGAGGUGGGACCCUCCCAGCCUGCCCAGUUCCCACCAGCAGCUUCGCUCUCACACUGCUCAGCUUGCAAAGGAACAGUCUGGUGGUCUUUUUAUUUUAAUUUAAAACCUGCUUUUCCCAAAACUGAUCAAGAAGCUACGAUUUUUCCUACUUAGCGCAUUUACGGUUCAAAGCACACUUUGUUUUGGUUUUGGUUUUUUUUUUAAUUUUUUUUUUUUUUAGUCAUUGUUUUAAACUAGAUCAACUUGCUGUCCAGUCAUUUCAGCUGCUCUGGGCACCCCACGAGGGCAGAGCAGCGUCCAGCUUGCAUGGUUUCCUUUAUUAUCCAUCAUCACUUUCUGUAUUGUCAAAUUAGAAAGCAACUUUGGUUGGUUUUGAUUUCUUUUUUUUUUUAUUUCUUUUUUUUUGGUUUUUUUUUGGGAAUACCUCAGUGCUACAAGUUUCACCCUAGAAGCAAUGGAAGAUUUUAAUUUAUUGUAGUUGUAAACAGAAUUUAAAAGAAAUAAAGUAUAAAACAUCAUUGCACUGUGACUGGUAGGGGAAAAACUGACAGUUUCCUAUUUGCACAUGUUUAAUAUUUGGCUGUUAUAUAUAUGGUCCUCUGUUGGGGGAGGAAACUUAUGAAGGAUAUUUUUUAAUUUAAUUUUUUUAAUAUUGGUAAAUAGGCCUGCAACAGCAAACUAGAAAUACAACAUGGUAGGUGGCAUUAAGAACAUACUGUAGUGUGGAUAUAUUUCUUCUUUUUUUAACGUAAUAUUGACAAGUUUUAUUAAUAUUUUUUUAAAUUGUUACGUUUAUAAAUUUGGUACUUUAGGUACAGCCAGUAUAAGACACUGAAUGCGACAUUUGUUAAAAAGAGCUGCUGCACUCCUAUUUUUGUAAAUUUUACUAACAAGUAGACUAAUGUAGACAUUCAAUAGACAAGGUAGAGCAAGGCAUCUUUAACAAAACAAGGCACCAUACUGCUAACCGAAAGGAGAAACCUUGUUUUUCUUGUUUUUAAAAAAAAAAUCAUGCUUUUUAUGUAAUAUUUUAGGUUUUUUUCUUAUUUCAGAACAACCAGGUUUAAGCAAAAUGCUGGACGCUUUUUAAAUAUUGAGACUUGAUCAAGUAAUAAAAGAAAUAAAACCGAAUUCUUUAAAAAAUAAAAAGGUAAAAAAAAAAUACUACGAACCAAAUUCCCUGCGAUUCAGUGUGCCGUCAGGGAAUUUUUUAUUGCUAUUUUGUCAAUGUUGAUGAUGUACUGUACUACCAGUUGGUUUUCCUCUCCAUUCCCUGUCACCUCAUAGAAUAUUCUUUGUUGAUCAUUGUUGUAUGUUAAUAGUGUAUAAAAUGGCUUAUCUUGUAAGAGUGCUGUCCUGAUGGUAGUGUAGUGAAUUUUUCCCCCCCUCUUUCUCUCUUCCUCUUCUAGUACAUAUUGGUAGGUGUAUCGUAAUUAAGGUUAAAAAUUUAGAUGUAGUUAUUCAGAUUUAGGACCAGUAAGGAUAGAACUUUCUCUUAUUUAAGGAAAAAAAUGCUAAUAAUUUUGGGAAGGUUUUCCUUUCUUGUUUUUUUCUUCUCUUUUUUCUUUCUGUGCUUUUUUUUUCUCUUGUUUAUUAUUUUUCUUCUGUUGAUCUGAUGCGGUUUCAACUAACCAAAGGUCUCACAAUGUUAAAAAUGCUGGCAAACUCUUAAGGCAUUUGUAGAUCCCCACCCAUGACUUUGGAAAGGGGAUGUGCCAUACUACCUUAAAUGCUAAUGCUAGAUAUGCAAAACUGGAUUUUUUUAAUUUAUUUUUUAAAAGAGGGAGGCACGGUAUAUUAAAACGAUUUUACUAAGAGAAAAAAAAAAAACAUAUUUUUUUAAGAAUGCUCAGAAGAAAUUGCUAAUCUGUGUGAAUAUGUUUUAGAUGUUUAUAUACCUUUUGAGAAGUCCCAGUGGCCCAUAGCACAAAUGUCGUGGAAUCCAAGAUGUUUUGAUGUGGCUACCUAGACUAAGGUUCACGUUAGUCCCCCACUCAUCUAGAAAUCAAUUUUGAAGGAAUUUUUUUUUUUUCCUUUUUCUUCGUUCGUUUGGGGGUUUUUUGUAAAUUUUUCAGCACAAAGGUUCAGCUCCACCUUUGCUUUACUCAAGCCCAGGAGGGAGCCAGGGAUGGUGGAACCAUUGGGAGGGACCCUGGAGCUCACCCAGUGCCACCCUGGCGGGGCAGGGCCACCUCCCAGGGUCCAGCCUGGCCUGGGAUGGUGGAACCAUUGGGAGGACCCUGGAGCUCACCCAGUGCCACCCUGGCGGGGCAGGGUCACCUCCCAGGGUCCAGCCUGGCCAGGGAUGGUGGAACCAUUGGGAGGACCCUGGAGCUCACCCAGUGCCACCCUGGCGGGGCAGGGUCACCUCCCGCUGCCCCGGGGUCCAGCCUGGCCUGGAGCCUGCAGGGACAGAGCCCCGGGCUCUCAGGACACCCUCCCUGGCAGGACAGUGCCCAGCUGGGGUGGCCAACAGGAGCCUUCUCCUCCAGGCUGGGUGACCUGGGCACCCACAGGGACACGUCCCCAACUCCAGGGACCAUCCCCAGGAGCCACCAGGGCUCGGGACCCUCCCCCUCCAAACGGCCCUUCGGGAUCGGCUUGAUUAAACUGAAGCCUGAUCUGUCCUUUGGGGUUUUUAUUUUUUCUUACACUUCAUAAAUGUUCAUUUUGAGUUGAAUUUGUAGCUUGGACUUUAAGGUAGCAUGGCUCUCUUUGCUGUAAGUUGAUUUUUUUUUUCCAUUGUACAGCAGCGUCUGCUGGUGAAUGUCACACAUCUUGCUAGGCUUAGUUAAAUCAUUGGGUAAUUGUGGGUGAUAACGACCUGAAAGGUGUUGGGAUUUCUUUUCUUCCCUGCUUUCAUCUGUAGUGUGAAUGAGGGCUAGCGACUCCAGCCACACGUCCCUUCCUGUUUCGUUUCCGCCAUUCACUCAAUGCAACAUAAUCAAUAAUAAAGCAAUAUAGUUUACUACAUUUUUACUGAAGGCCAGCCAUGGUUCUGUAUGAUAUUGCAUAUGAAACUGUUUACAAAAACAAAAAAAAAA